UCUUCUUCUUCUCUUCCCUUCACCGCCAAGAUUUUUGAAGACAUCCAACUUCCAUUUUUUUUUUCUUUUUCCUUCUUCAAUUUGCAGAGAACUUCUAAGAGAGAGUUUGGAAGAAGAAGAGAAAUUUUACUAGAAUUUUGAGGUUGAAGAAGAGGAGGAGAACUCAAGCAAAGUGUAUCCAUGGCUGAAUUUUAGUUCAUUCUGCACAUCACUGGUUUUUAAUUGGGUUUGAACUCUUCAAAAGGAAUUAAGAGAGGGCAGUUGGUUUUCACUCGAAAUCAGGAGGUCUCUGGUUUUUCUUGUAUUUCAGAGUGUAUCGGUGGAAUUAAAAUCUUUAUUUGGGACAAGUUAAAGAGGUCGUGUGCACGCGAUUCUGGAAGUGGUUCUGUUUUGAGGGUUAUAUGUGUUUAUGCACGGGGAAUCAGAUUUAUAUGUCUUCAGGCCGAGAAGAAUUAAACCGAGCUUAUAGACCAAGGAUCUAGCCCAAGACUGUAUUGAUCGACUUCCCGGUGCCUGAUAGACAUCCUUAGUCUGCGGAAGCUUCAUUAUCGAUUGCCAAGUCGACAGAUACAGGUACAGAAAAGCGUUGUUCGUCGGCUUCACGCCAUCUUUCGAUCUAAGGUAGCAGGUAGUCCGGGAGGGGGUGUGACACUCCACUUCGGGUCACGGUGAGUCUUCGGUGAUAGGGGUUUGACGCUCAAGUUCACGGUCCCACGACAAGUUCAUUUGGGAAUAGCUCCCUUUACUCGGGUGGAUCUAUUGAGCGUGGACUCGAUCGAGGGGCAUAACCAAGUAUCAGGUAAGGGUACAGCGAGGGGCAGACCGACGAGGGGCAAGAAGGAUGCGUGAAGGCCAUAUGGAUGCGUCUGGUUUUCUUUAUGCUUCCGCUGAUGUAUUUUGUUAGAAUAUUUGGUUUUGUGAUUGUGAGUUUGAUGACUUGAGUAUUGUAUUUGAAA